rnacentral:rRNA from 1 species
AGUGAACGCUGGCGGUAGGCCUAACACAUGCAAGUCGAACGGCAGCACAGUAAGAGCUUGCUCUUACGGGUGGCGAGUGGCGGACGGGUGAGGAAUACAUCGGAAUCUACUUUUUCGUGGGGGAUAACGUAGGGAAACUUACGCUAAUACCGCAUACGACCUACGGGUGAAAUCAGGGGAUCUUCGGACCUUGCGCGAUUGAAUGAGCCGAUGUCGGAUUAGCUAGUUGGCGGGGUAAAGGCCCACCAAGGCGACGAUCCGUAGCUGGUCUGAGAGGAUGAUCAGCCACACUGGAACUGAGACACGGUCCAGACUCCUAAGGGAGGCAGCAGUGGGGAAUAUUGGACAAUGGGCGCAAGCCUGACCCAGCCAUACCGCGUGGGUGAAGAAGGCCUUCGGGUUGUAAAGCCCUUUUGUUGGGAAAGAAAAGCAGCAGGUUAAUACCCCGCUGUUCUGACGGUACCCAAAGAAUAAGCACCGGCUAACUUCGUG